rnacentral:rRNA from 1 species
UACAGAGGGUGCAAGCGUUGUCCGGAAUUAUUGGUCGUAAAGGGCGCGUAGGCGGCUUUUCAAGUGACGGGUGAAAUCCCUCGGCUUAACCGAGGAACUGCCUGUCAGACUGGAAGGCUUGAGACCGGGAGAGGUGAGUGGAAUUCCCAGUGUAGCGGUGAAAUGCGUAGAUAUUGGGAGGAACACCAGUGGCGAAGGCGGCUCACUGGACUGGUACUGACGCUGAUGCGCGAAAGCGUGGGGAGCAAACAGG